GGACGGAUACCCAAGUGGCCAAAGGGGGCUGACUGUAAAUCAGCUGGCAGACGCCUUCAGAGGUUCGAAUCCUCUUCCGUCCA
rnacentral:tRNA from 1 species